rnacentral:rRNA from 1 species
UACAUAGGCAGCGAGCGUUGUUCGGCAUUACUGGGCGUAAAGAGUGUGUAGGCGGUGCUCUAAGUCUGUCGUGAAAUCUCCCGGCUUAACUGGGAGGGUGCGGCGGAAACUGGUGUGCUCGAGGGUGGGAGAGGUAAGCGGAAUUCCUGGUGUAGCGGUGAAAUGCGUAGAUAUCUGGAGGAAUACCGGUGGCGAAGGCGGUAUCCUGGACCGAGAUUGACACUGAUGAGCGAAAGCCAGGGGAGCAAACGGG